UGGGACUUACAGCGUGUUGAGGUUCUUCAGCCUCCUGAAGGCCCCGGGUUGUAUCUCCCUGAUGUGGUUGAAACGUAAAUCUAGUAUGCUCGUCUGAGGUGGGAUGUCAGGGAUGGUUUCCAACAUCAGAUGCAUGCAUCUUACUGUAGUCCUGAAGCACAGGCAGCGAGGAGGGCAGGAACGGGAGGAAGCAGGCAGGAGGAGAAAGCACAAAAAGCCCAGAAGAGCUGAAGGUUUGAGCAGCAUGGUGUUGCUGGAGUGUAUUUUCCUCAAUUCUGAGCUGCAGGGAGCUGACAAAAAAAAGUUUCCCAGCCCUGAGGUCCAGGAGGAGGGGACUCAUCAGCAUGUGUUUGCAAUUAAAUUAAGGCAGUUUGACAGUCCAACCGCCCACCCUCUCUGCCAUUAUGUACAUCGCUGCAGAUCAGACUGUUCCCACCCCUCUUUAAUUGCAGCGUUGAAAUAUUAAGUCUUCAUUUUUUAUUUAUUCUUGCCUUGUUACUUCUUUUGAACAGCAGGUUAACUCCUUGGGCGUUUAUCUGAAAGCACACAAUGCAUCUUUAUGGACAAUGACCAAAAAAACAUCACUGGGAUUCUGACAGCCUGGAGUCAAGCUUUUAAGUGAGAAUUUCUGCUUUAACACAGACUGCAAACUAAGGAUGGCAUCUCAUCUAACAGCCUCUGUCAGCACACAGUACAACUUUGGGGAUAGUUAUUGCAUGCGUGUAUAACAUCUGCUGAAAUGCAUUUCCCAUCACUUCUUGGAACUUUGAACGCUACUGAUCAGAGAUUUUAAAAGGGAGACCACUAACAAAGAUAAAUAACCAGGAAAUAAAGACCAAAAAUCCCCUGACUGGAUGCAUUUUUGUCAUGCUAUAGGAAACUGAUCAGAUAUUAACUCAAAGACCUUUUAGUCAAUGCAGUUUCACAUCACAAAGCCGCAACUGUGGGAAAUGCAGGGGCUUUGGAAAAACAAAGGGGCAGCUGAGGGGUGCAGAGGGAGAGAAUCAAACCAACCACAUUUGAACUGCAGAAACCCCUGCAGAAAACACAGACCACAACUCGUUCAGCUCUUUGGAGGAUUAAAAAAAAAUGCAAAAAAAAGGAAGACGUGCCCAGUUUGAUUUAUCACUCUUAUUAUAAAGAUGCUUAAAAUGAAAAUAGCUUUAAGGUUACAGUCAUUACUGUGUAUGUUUUUAUGUGUGUAUUUUAAACAGACAAGUGUGAAGCAUUAAGACUCCACGGGAAGCAUCACAUCAUUCCACGUUACCUGUGCGAUCAACCCAAAGCUCCCCAUGGACUUGCAGAUCUGCUUUGUGCUAUACAUUGCAACACAGCUAACAUGGGGAAACAGUACUUCCCCUGGAUGGCACUGCAACCUCCCCAGCUUGCUUUCCCCCUCAGAUACUUUGUCACUUGAGCACUUGGAGUAGAAGUGGUAGGUCUGGAUUCUUUUUGUAGUUGUAUGUGGUUACUUUUUGCCAGCCUCCCCAUCUCAAUGACCUUGUAAAGCAAGGUUUAUACAAUACCUUCCAUAAUAUAUUAAAGAUCAUACUUCUCUUCACUCAGAAGUCUUCCAGGUGUUUAGCCUUGUGUGUCAACAGAAACCUUGGACAAAUUACCAU
rnacentral:lncRNA from 1 species